AAGGGAGACCUAAUUCGGGUAUAAGACGAAAAAAUAGUAGUCGAAACCAAGAAUCAAUCCCAAAAGGUCGGAGCGAGGCAUGAGGCUUUCAAACUAGGUUCUGGGUUCAUAAAAGACCUGAAUCAGGAACAAGGGCUAUUAGCUCAGGUGGUUAGAGCGCACCCCUGAUAAGGGUGAGGUCCCUGGUUCGAGUCCAGGAUGGCCCACCUGCACAGGUGGCAAAAACAAAAGAAGCGAGGAAUCAGCACCUUAUCUUACCUAUAUAGUAAGAGAGAAUGCUGGCUCUGAGUUCAGAGUCCAGAGGAACCUUGAAAACUGCAUAGAGCUAGGUGAAAAAGCCAAAAAAGAAGACCGCAA
rnacentral:tRNA from 1 species